GACGAACGCUGGCGGCGUGCUUAACACAUGCAAGUCGAGCGGUAAGGCCCUUUCGGGGGUACACGAGCGGCGAAUGGGUGAGUAACACGUGGGUGACCUGCCCUCAGCUCUGGGAUAAGCCUGGGAAACCGGGUCUAAUACUGGAUAUGACUCCAUGACGCAUGUUGUGGGGUGGAAAGCCUUGUGCGGCUGAGGAUGGGCCCGCGGCCUAUCAGCUUGUUGGUGGGGUGAUGGCCUACCAAGGCGACGACGGGUAGCCGGCCUGAGAGGGCGACCGGCCACACUGGGACUGAGACACGGCCCAGACUCCUACGGGAGGCAGCAGUGGGGAAUCUUGCGCAAUGGGCGAAAGCCUGACGCAGCGACGCCGUGUGAGGGAUGACGGCCU
rnacentral:rRNA from 1 species